CUGGGUAGCCAAGUACGGACGGGAUAAGCGCUGAAAGCAUCUAAGCGUGAAGCCCCCCUCAAGAUGAGAUUUCCCAAUUAGUAAGACCCCUUGAAGACGACGAGGUUGAUAGGUUCGGGGUGGAAGCGCGGCAACGUGUGGAGCUGACGAAUACUAAUCGGUCGAGGGCUUAUCCUA
rnacentral:rRNA from 1 species